ACAUUUUAAGAAAGCAAUUAAAAAAUGGGAAUAGAGAGAAAGGUGCUCCAGAGGACUUCAGAUUGGCCUUACAGUGGCCACUCUUUCCUUGAGAGGUACACCAGGC
ensembl:snoRNA